rnacentral:tRNA from 1 species
GCCUCGGUAACUCAGCUGGUAGAGUACUACCUUGGUAAGGUAGAAGUCGCGGGUCCGAAUCCCGUCCGAGGCU